rnacentral:rRNA from 1 species
UUAAGCAUGCAGUCGACCGGUAAGGGAGAGCUUGUUUUCCCUAGAGUGCGGACUUGUUAAGUACGGUGGGUGACCUGCCUGAAAUUGGGAUAGCUAGUAGUCAUAUUACGAUAAUACCGAAUGUGCUCAUUUACAUAAAGGUAAAUGAGGAAAGGAGCUUCGGCUCCGCUUCAGGAUGGGCCCGCGUCCCAUUAGCUGGUUGGUGAGGUAAAGGCUCACCAAGGCAACGAUGGGUAUCCGGCCUGAGAGGGUGAACGGACACAUUGGGACUGAGAUACGGCCCAAACUCCUACGGGAGGCAGCAGCUAAGAAUCUUCCGCAAUGGACGAAAGUCUGACGGAGCGACGCCGUGUGAAUGAAGAAGGCCGAAAGGUUGUAAAAUUCUUUUGCAGAUGAAGAAUAAUCAUAGGAGGGAAUGCCUGUGAGAUGACGGUAAUCAUGCGAUAAGCCCGGCUAAUUAC